rnacentral:rRNA from 1 species
GUGGAUUAGAUACCCUGGUAGUCCUAGCCGUAAACGAUGGGCACUAGGUGUGGGGGGUUAUCAACUCCCUCCGUGCCGCAGCUAACGCAUUAAGUGCCCCGCCUGGGGAGUACGGCCGCAAGGCUAAAACUCAAAGGAAUUGACGGGGGCCCGCACAAGCAGCGGAGCAUGUGGCUUAAUUCGACGCAACGCGAAGAACCUUACCAAGGCUUGACAUGCAGAGAAAAGCGGCGGAAACGUCGUGUCCGAAAGGGCUCUGCACAGGUGGUGCACGGCUGUCGACAACU